GUGAACAUGAAGGUGCUGAUUUCCUGUUGUUAGACACGUGUUUCAGCCUCACAGCUCCAAAGGUGAGGGCAGGAGGGAGGAAAGUGCAGCUCUGGAGUUUGGUACCCAGUGUUGGUGGAGGGAAGCACCUCUGGUGAGGCCUGAUCCUACAGGAAAGGUUGUGCCAUGGCAGCUCCUGUGUCAGAUCACUGUCUUGAGCCUUUUCAGUGCCACAAAAGGGGAGAGGAACCUUCACGGGUGCAGCCUCAUCAUCUGUGUGGCAUUUAAGUGUAAUCUGUGCCCGGUGUCUCACUGCUUCCCUGGUAGAAACCGCCUUGUUGGCUCCUCAGCUUCUGUGGCAGCUCUGUCAGAAACAUGGACAUGAACGGGUUUGAAGUGAGUUCCCAGAGCACUUUUACUGCUGAUUUAUCCAUGUGGGCAAGAUGCUACAUGAGUUACACUGGCGGGAGGAGGGGGAAGGUGAAGUUGAGGUGGCCUGGCUGCCUGCACCAUCCCAUAACCAGAGUUUAAGCAUCUCAGCGAUGCCCUCUGCCCACACUCAGGAUCCAGCCGAGUUCUCUGUGCCUUAAGUUUUCCUUUUCUUUUUCAACCAUGUCCUAAUUGGGAAAGCAGGAAAAGCCUUAAAAAAAGAAACCAAACAAACAAAAUUAAUGAGCAGCACCAGGGGAGGGGGAAAAGCAUUUUUUGGCCGGAGUCCUUGGCACAGGGAGGGAAGAGCUGCUCCUCUUGGAGAGCGUUUAGUCCCUGCAAGCUGCCAGCGAUGGAAGUCAAGUGAAAACCAAGUGGCUGGAAGCUGAGUUCACUGCAGCCUCCCUCUGCUUUGCUCAUUUAGUGCCUCAGCCUUAGCAGGGGGUACUUGGAUGUUUAUUCCCAGGCUAAAUCGCUUUGGGAGCUGCGACUCCUUUGUCAGUGAGAGAGAAAGCAGCCUGCCCAUGGGCUAACAGCCUUCACAGCUCCUUCCCCUGGCUGCUUGGGCUCGCAGCACGGAGGCCUGCAGUGAGCAUCCUCAGGCACCACGCUGACCAAACCCUGCCGCAAGGACCUGGCAGCCAGGCUGUGGGUGACAGCAGGGAUGAGCAUCCCUGGGGCUGGCUGCUCUACCUCCAGUUCCAGGAAUCCCACAGAGCAUCCCACAGGAGCAGCCCGAGCUCCUUCCCUGCUCCUUGGCAGCCAGGCAGCCCAGACCUGUUUGCCAGCAUGGAGAAGGGCUUCUGGUGCUGGCAGCCACAGGAGGCUGAUGUGCAUGGAGCCGCAUGUUGAAGCCAUGGGAGAAGGUCUGUGCGUCUGAGACUGUCAGAGCUCAAAGCUCCCCUGUUCCUCCAAGCAAACAUCAGCGGUGCUCACACAAAUUAGGAUCUGUUUGAUACAGACCAGAGCAAAGGAAGUGUUGGUAAAUCUGCAGCAGUUUACAUACACAGCUCCUGUUUAUAUACAUGUUGUGUGUCAGCUCCUAGUACAAGCCUCUUCCCUUUGCAUAGCCCCCCCUGUACAACUGGGGGUCAGUUUUCUCACCCUUGUGUUUGGUUCUGUGUGGCCAGUGUCCGUCUGGGGGCUUUCUGGCCUCUCUUUCCUGUGUUCCCUUUCCCCAGCACCAUUGCAUUUCCUCCCAAGCAUGGAGCAGCAAACACUUCCCUUGCGGGCUGCAUGGAAAACUCAUCCUUGCAGGGAAAGGACUCAUCAAGCCUCAUCUUCACCCUCAAUGGCUGCUUCACAAAGGUGGGAGGCAUCUUGAGCUAAUGGAGACGUUUCCCCUCUAUCUGCUGGAAUCUGGGCGCCUGGAAGCAGAGGAGCUCUCAUCCCGCUCCAGGCGGGGCUGAUGGGAUUUGCACCGGUCCCAGUUGCCAUGGAGAAAGUGUUGGAUGGCUUUAAUACAUCUCCGUGAAUUUCUCCCCGGAGUUUUGCCAUGACAGGCUGGACCGGAGGCACAGACCGUGAUGGGAUCAAGUAAACCGGAGCUGAUGUUUUCAGUGAGAAAGGAGACAGCAGACGAAUGAGGAGGAGCAGAGAGGCAAGGGCUGGCUGUCAGAACCCACAGAGCCUUCUGGAAACACUGGGAGCAAGACCAGGAUGGGGCUGCCUCGCUUGGCAUGGAUGUGAUGUGCUGAUGUGAAGUGCCUGCAGCCCUGUCCAUCCCCUCCGCUUCCAUCACUGGAGAGGUUCCUGGGACCGAACAGACGAGGUGAAGCAGGGAUGUGAAACGUUCACUGUGGGGCCCCCGCAAUGAAGCUGUUUGAUGGAUGAAUAUGGAGUGGCUGAGGUGACCUUCUCAGGAGGUGAUGGAUGCUCUGCCUGUCCCCUGCAUCCCUGGUGCCUGCUGAAGGGAUGGAGCCCUUUGCAGGGCAGCGCUUGGCAAAGCCCCCACCAACGACAGGGUGCUCAUCACCAAACCAUCACUGUAAGUAAAUACAUGGGAUUGAUCACUUUAUCAUCCAAGCACAGGUGGAUUAAUGCCCUCUCUUAAUACUCUGUUUAAGCAGCCUAUUUUUAAAAAAGCUGAAUAAUUGAGGGGAAUUACUGUAAAAUCAGGAAAGUUAACAGUUUAUUUCCUGCUUAUUGUCAGAUUUGAUGGCCAAGAGAAGCCGGUAGGUCCACGCCAUGGCCCAAGGGAUGGCCAGGACCCGGGGGGGGAUGGCAGGCAUCAGGGGGAUGCUGGUGCUAUGUAGCCCUGGCUGUGGAAAACGGGAACACCAGAAGUGGCUCCCUCUGUCUCCCUUUUAGCUGCUAAGGAAGUGUUUGCAGUGACUGCUCCGGCUGCUGCAGCCAAGUCCCCUAUCAAAACAAGACUGAAAAAGCAAGGAAAUAAUUAAAA